CAGCCGCGGUAAUACGUAGGUGGCAAGCGUUGUCCGGAAUUAUUGGGCGUAAAGCGCGCGCAGGCGGCCCGUUAAGUCCGUGGUGAAAGCCUCCAGCUCAACUGGAGAACUGCCAUGGAUACUGGCGGGCUUGAGUACAGACGAGGUUGGCGGAAUUGAAGAUGUAGCGGUGAAAUGCAUAGAUAUCUUCAAGAACACCGAUUGCGUAGGCAGCUAACUAGGCUGUAACUGACGCUGAGGCACGAAAGCGUGGGGAGCGAAC
rnacentral:rRNA from 1 species